rnacentral:rRNA from 1 species
GACGUAGGGCGCAAGCGUUGUCCGGAUUUAUUGGGCGUAAAGAGCUCGUAGGCGGCUUGUUGCGUCGUCCGUGAAAACCCGCAGCUCAACUGCGGGCUUGCGGACGAUACGGGCAGGCUGGAGUUCGGUAGGGGGGACUGGAAUUCCUGGUGUAGCGGUGAAAUGCGCAGAUAUCAGGAGGAACACCGGUGGCGAAGGCGGGUCUCUGGGCCGAUACUGACGCUGAGGAGCGAAAGCGUGGGGAGCGAACAGG